GAUGAACGCUGGCGGCGUGCCUAAUACAUGCAAGUCGAGCGAACGGACGAGAAGCUUGCUUUUCUGAUGUUAGCGGCGGACGGGUGAGUAACACGUGGAUAACCUACCUAUAAGACUGGGAUAACUUCGGGAAACCGGAGCUAAUACCGGAUAAUAUUUUGAACCGCAUGGUUCAAUAGUGAAAGACGGUCUUGCUGUCACUUAUAGAUGGAUCCGCGCUGCAUUAGCUAGUUGGUAAGGUAACGGCUUACCAAGGCAACGAUGCAUAGCCGACCUGAGAGGGUGAUCGGCCACACUGGAACUGAGACACGGUCCAGACUCCUACGGGAGGCAGCAGUAGGGAAUCUUCCGCAAUGGGCGAAAGCCUGACGGAGCAACGCCGCGUGAGUGAUGAAGGUCUUCGGAUCGUAAAACUCUGUUAUUAGGGAAGAACAAAUGUGUAAGUAACUGUGCACGUCUUGACGGUACCUAAUCAGAAAGCCACGGCUAACUACGUG
rnacentral:rRNA from 1 species